rnacentral:misc_RNA from 1 species
AAAAAAAAAAAAAAAAAAAUCCUGAGCUGAUAAUUAAUUAUGAUGUUUUAGAAUUAAUAACGUGUUAGUUUGCCGUUACAUUAUUAAUUUCUUCUUCUAUAUAUCAUAAUAAUAUGUGAAUUGAAUAAAGGAGGAAAUUCCCAUUUAAUUCCAUGAAUUUUUGGAGCAAAUUGUAUCAAUCCAUUAUCAUUAUAAACGAUAUGAAAAAUAAAAAAUUAACAUUAUUUUUCA